rnacentral:rRNA from 1 species
AUUGAACGCUGGCGGAAUGCUUUACACAUGCAAGUCGAGCGGCAGCGCGGGGCAACCUGGCGGCGAGCGGCGAACUGGUGAGUAAUGCAUCGGAACGUACCCAGUCGUGGGGGAUAACUGUCCGAAAGGACAGCUAAUACCGCAUACGUCCUGAGGGAGAAAGCGGGGGAUCGCAAGACCUCGCGCGAUUGGAGCGGCCGAUGCCGGAUUAGCUAGUUGGUAGGGUAAAGGCCUACCAAGGCGACGAUCCGUAGCUGGUCUGAGAGGACGACCAGCCACACUGGAACUGAGACACGGUCCAGACUCCUACGGGAGGCAGCAGUGGGGAAUUUUUGGACAAUGGGGGCAACCCUGAUCCAGCCAUUCCGCGUGAGUGAAGAAGGCCU